CCUACGGGAGGCAGCAGUGGGGAAUAUUGCACAAUGGAGGAAACUCUGAUGCAGCAACGCCGCGUGAGCGAUGAAGGUCUUCGGAUUGUAAAGCUCUGUCUUCUGGGACGAUAAUGACGGUACCAGAGGAGGAAGCCACGGCUAACUACGUGCCAGCAGCCGCGGUAAU
rnacentral:rRNA from 1 species